AUAUGACGUGCUUGCACUGAAUUGACGUUGGAUUACCAGUGAGCGGCGGACGGGUGAGUAACACGUGGGCAACCUGCCCUGAAGCGGGGGAUAACAUCUGGAAACAGGUGCUAAUACCGCAUAACAACGAAAACCACAUGGUUUUCGUUUCAAAGAUGGUUUCGGCUAUCACUUCAGGAUGGGCCCGCGGUGCAUUAGCUAGUUGGUAAGGUAACGGCUUACCAAGGCAAUGAUGCAUAACCGAGUUGAGAGACUGAUCGGCCACAAUGGAACUGAGACACGGUCCAUACUCCUACGGGAGGCAGCAGUAGGGAAUCUUCCACAAUGGGCGCAAGCCUGAUGGAGCAACACCGCGUGAGUGAAGAAGGGUUUCGGCUCGUAAAGCUCUGUUGUUGGAGAAGAACGUGCGUGAGAGUAACUGUUCACGCAGUGACGGUAUCCAACCAGAAAGUCACGGCUAACUACGUGCCAGCAGCCGCGGUAAUACGUAGGUGGCAAGCGUUAUCCGGAUUUAUUGGGCGUAAAGCGAGCGCAGGCGGUUGCUUAGGUCUGAUGUGAAAGCCUUCGGCUUAACCGAAGAAGGGCAUCGGAAACCGGGCGACUUGAGUGCAGAAGAGGACAGUGGAACUCCAUUGUUAA
rnacentral:rRNA from 1 species